rnacentral:tRNA from 1 species
GAUGUGGCUCAGUGGUGGAGUGCUUGCCUGGCAUGCUUGAUGCCCUGGGUUCAAUUCCUAGCAUC